UCUGUCCUGUGCCUCAGUCCGUAGAGCAUUGCGCUGGCAACGCAAAGGUCAUGGGUUCAAACACCAGGGAAAGCA